GCAAGUCGAACGGUAACAGGAAGCAGCUUGCUGCUUUGCUGACGAGUGGCGGACGGGUGAGUAAUGUCUGGGAAACUGCCUGAUGGAGGGGGAUAACUACUGGAAACGGUGGCUAAUACCGCAUAACGUCGCAAGACCAAAGAGGGGGACCUUCGGGCCUCUUGCCAUCAGAUGUGCCCAGAUGGGAUUAGCUUGUUGGUGAGGUAACGGCUCACCAAGGCGACGAUCCCUAGCUGGUCUGAGAGGAUGACCAGCCACACUGGAACUGAGACACGGUCCAGACUCCUACGGGAGGCAGCAGUGGGGAAUAUUGCACAAUGGGCGCAAGCCUGAUGCAGCCAUGCCGCGUGUAUGAAGAAGGCCUUCGGGUUGUAAAGUACUUUCAGCGGGGAGGAAGGUGUUGUGGUUAAUAACCGCAGCAAUUGACGUUACCCGCAGAAGAAGCACCGGCUAACUCCGUGCCAGCAGCCGCGGUAAUACGGAGGGUGCAAGCGUUAAUCGGAAUUACUGGGCGUAAAGCGCACGCAGGCGGUCUGUCAAGUCGGAUGUGAAAUCCCCGGGCUCAACCUGGGAACUGCAUUCGAAACUGGCAGGCUUGAGUCUUGUAGAGGGGGGUAGAAUUCCAGGUGUAGCGGUGAAAUGCGUAGAGAUCUGGAGGAAUACCGGUGGCGAAGGCGGCCCCCUGGACAAAGACUGACGCUCAGGUGCGAAAGCGUGGGGAGCAAACAGGAUUAGAUACCCUGGUAGUCCACGCCGUAAACGAUGUCUACUUGGAGGUUGUGCCCUUGAGGCGUGGCUUCCGGAGCUAACGCGUUAAGUAGACCGCCUGGGGAGUACGGCCGCAAGGUUAAAACUCAAAUGAAUUGACGGGGGCCCGCACAAGCGGUGGAGCAUGUGGUUUAAUUCGAUGCAACGCGAAGAACCUUACCUGGUCUUGACAUCCACAGAACUUUCCAGAGAUGGAUUGGUGCCUUCGGGAACUGUGAGACAGGUGCUGCAUGGCUGUCGUCAGCUCGUGUUGUGAAAUGUUGGGUUAAGUCCCGCAACGAGCGCAACCCUUAUCCUUUGUUGCCAGCGGUCCGGCCGGGAACUCAAAGGAGACUGCCAGUGAUAAACUGGAGGAAGGUGGGGAUGACGUCAAGUCAUCAUGGCCCUUACGACCAGGGCUACACACGUGCUACAAUGGCGCAUACAAAGAGAAGCGACCUCGCGAGAGCAAGCGGACCUCAUAAAGUGCGUCGUAGUCCGGAUUGGAGUCUGCAACUCGACUCCAUGAAGUCGGAAUCGCUAGUAAUCGUGGAUCAGAAUGCCACGGUGAAUACGUUCCCGGGCCUUGUACACACCGCCCGUCACACCAUGGGAGUGGGUUGCAAAAGAAGUAGUGUAGCUUAACCUUCGGGAGGGCGCU
rnacentral:rRNA from 1 species